GCCAGGGAGCGGAAGCAAAAACGGCUCUGGCCAAUCAGCAUCCCUUCAUAGAGAUGCAUUAAAUCAUGACGAAAGUUCAGUCUCCAUUCAGUGUGUGGAGAUGCUAAACGUCAGUGGUGUACACUUUUGCAGCACUGCCCCAUGAAGCACCUUUCUAAUUGGAUGUAACUAUAGUAAUGUAGGUGUAAUUUUCGUACUUUCUGUAUACGUAUGGAAUGCGUCAUUUGUGGUAUAUAU